AACGAACGCUGGCGGCGUGCCUAACACAUGCAAGUCGUACGAGAAACACAUCCUUCGGGGUGUGGAGUAAAGUGGCGCACGGGUGAGUAACACGUGGGUAACCUGCCAUUGGGAUCGGGAUAACUGGCCGAAAGGCCCGCUAAUACCGGAUAAGACCACGGAGACCAAGGUUUCUGGGGUAAAAGUCGGCCUCUCAUAGAAGCCGGCGCGUGAUGAUGGGCCCGCGGACCAUUAGCUAGUUGGUAAGGUAACGGCUUACCAAGGCCGAGAUGGGUAGCUGGUCUGAGAGGAUGAUGAGCCACACUGGAACUGAGAUACGGUCCAGACUCCUACGGGAGGCAGCAGUGAGGAAUAUUGCGCAAUGGAGGAAACUCUGACGCAGCAACGCCGCGUGAGUGAAGAAGGCUUUCGGGUUGUAAAGCUCUGUCAGGUGGGAAGAAACCUUUGUAGUUGAAUAGGCUAUAAAACUGACGGUACCACCAAAGGAAGCACCGGCUAACUCCGUGCCAGCCGCCGCAGUAACAC
rnacentral:rRNA from 1 species